UACGUAGGGUGCGAGCGUUGUCCGGAAUUACUGGGCGUAAAGAGCUCGUAGGCGGUUUGUCACGUCGUCUGUGAAAUCCUCCAGCUUAACUGGGGGCGGUGCAGGCGGAUACGGGCGAGACUUGAGUACUACAGGGGAGGACUGGAAUUCCUGGUGUAGCGGUGAAAUAGCGCAGAUAUCAGGAGGAACACCGGUGGCGAAGGCGGGUCGUCUGGGUAGGUAACUGACGCUGAGGAGCGAAAGACAUGGGUAGGCGAACAGGAUUAGAUACCCG
rnacentral:rRNA from 1 species